rnacentral:lncRNA from 1 species
AUUUGCCUUAUUGUCCUUAUUUGUUCAUUGUAUUUUAGUGUCUGCAUGCCUCAAGUGGCAGAAAAACAAGAUUGGCUUUGCCAGUGUUUGUAAUCCAUCUCCAAGCGCUGCUCCACGUGCUCUGACUCUUUAUCUGCAGGGCUCCUGCCUUCUCCUGUCACACAUUGAGCCCAGCUGCCUCAGAGCUGCUGCCCCACACAGUCCUGUCUGCAGCACACCUGGGAGCUCUUCAGCAUCUUGGCUUUCAUCUGCUGUGGAAGAGAGAACCCUUCAAUGUCCUCUUAGUACAAGACAAUGACCAGGUGAAAGGCUUGAUGUCUCUGGCAGGGGCAAACAGAAGAUUUUAAGAGCAAGGUGAGCAAAAUCUCAAUAAUUCACAUAAACAGAUUGUAUGGCUGUGGGAAUGCACCCACCCCAAACCCCU